rnacentral:rRNA from 1 species
AUUGAACGCUGGCGGCAGGCUUAACACAUGCAAGUCGAACGAGUGGCGGACGGGUGAGUAAUGCUUGGGAAUCUGGCUGAUGGAGGGGGAUAACUACGGGAAACUGUAGCUAAUACCGCAUACCAUAAGAUAAGCCCAAAUGGGAUUAGCUAGUUGGUGAGGUAAAGGCUCACCAAGCCGACGAUCCCUAGCUGGUCUGAGAGGAUGACCAGCCACACUGGGACUGAGACACGGCCCAGACUCCUACGGGAGGCAGCAGUGGGGAAUAUUGCACAAUGGGGACAAGCCUGACGCAGCCAUGCCGCGGGAAUGAAGAAGGCCUUCGGGUUGUAAAGUACUUUCGGUAGCGAGGCGUUAACUACAGAAGAAGCACCGGCUAACUCCGUGCCAGCAGCCGCGGUAAUUC